rnacentral:lncRNA from 10 species
CCUGCCACACCCAAACCUGAGCUCCUAGCAUGCGCACAGUUGAAUCAUCAGGCACACUUUGCAGCUUCCUAUUUGUCUGUCUCCGUACAGGCUUUUCCUUCUGGCUGGAAUGGACUCCUCUCGACUUCCCUUUUCUCACCUCUGCUUGAAAUAUGUGCACCUUUUCAUAAUGGAAACACAAUGAGGCAAAUGUGAUCUGCAUAGCUCCACCCUUUGUGAACAUCCUUGAGUUGGAAAAGUGCUGUGAGAGGCACGUGUCAAUCUUCAGAAGCUGAAGUGACUUGUCUAGGGUGGGAGAAGGAAUGUUCUCUGGAGAAAUCUGUAUGAUAGAAUAGUGAAGGUAACUGGCCUGAACUACAGCUCUUGAGCCAUCUGGUUUCACCUUCAGGGAGGUCCCACUGAAGCUGAAUGACUGUGCAGGUUGAUACACUGGACAUUUUCGGUGAAACCUGUGUGAACAGACAACUGGAGGGUCAGAUGAUUUAUCCUCUCCCCAGUACCUUGGCACAAGCCUAGGCUACAGAAUGAGAUGCACGUAAGAAGUCUGUGACCUGGACCAGAGCAGCCCAGCUGAACACAUGCUGGAUUGGAAGAACCACCUUUGACCUGAAGACCUGUGAGUGAGAAUAAAUGCUGUUUGAGAAAGGAGUUUGGAGACAGAAAGACGGAAGAGUUGAUAUUCCGCUCACAGAUGUCAAUUUUCAAAGAAAUUUCUGCCCAUUAUGGAUGCACCACAAAUACUAAAGUCUAUGCAAUAUAUAUUUUGAAAAGAAUUUUUUUCGUGAAACUGUAAUUUUCGUUCAUAAGAGUAUAUUUCCUGACUUAGCAUUUUAUUGACUAGAUUAAAAUUUUGUUCCCCAAAGUAAGUGUGUGUGUGUGUGUGUGUGUGUGUGUGCACGCACACGUGUGUGUGCAUUCCUGAGGAUUAUUCUAAGGCUGAACUCCUUCAUAGAAAUGGAAUUUUUCUCUCUAUGCUCACAUUUUAAAACAGCUCACACAAGCCAGGCAGAAACUGCCAACCCCUUGGUUUCUAAUUCUUUGUGCUAGUUCUAUUAGAAGGGGCAAGUGUAAUCUGACAAUGGGAAACAAUACACCCUUUCUCAUAUUCUUUAUCAACAUACAUAAACUGGAAGAAAGAAAAAGAAAGAGAGGGGUACAGAGGGAGGAAAGGAGGAAGAAAAAAGAUAGGAGGGGAAGUAGGAAGAGAGGAGAAGGGGACUGUAGUGGGGGAAAGAGAGGAGAGACAGAAUCUUUCCACUAAAGUUAGCAUCUGAGAGAGAGGCCCACGGAAUUGAUUUUUUUUUUUUUAUCCCUUUGGCAAACCAGCAUUUGGUCUUUGCUUUGGUUAUCCUGAGAUAGUGCUUUGUUUACCUGAGCUAGCUGGCCAUCUCAGCUGUGACAAUUUAAAAUUAGGCCACUAUUUAUAAUUCAAGCUAUGUGUAAACAAAACAAAACACAAUACAACCAAUGAAGGAGGUUUGUUUGUUUGUUUUUUUAAAAGGUAGGGGCAUUUUGUAAAUCAGACAGAGAUAGCUUUCUUGAAUAAAAUGACAUUUUUAGUUAUUUCUUUGUCUUGAACUUUCUCCUGAGACACCUUCUGGCUCACUAGUCACGAGGAACUGAAGAGGAACUGAAGGAAUUCUAAACAUCCCCAAAGCCUCUAGUGAUUCUCCAGAUGUGUCUUUUCAAGAGGCUGGCGACUUGUAGGGAGGGUGGAUAUACCUUAAUUAUUCAGUCACUUUUAACGUUUUACCUAAACUAUUUGUCAAAUAAGUAGUUUUUGCAUUGCUUUAACUGUAUACAGCCAUCAUUUGAUUAUACAUUCUAUCAAAGAUUGAUUGCCUGAUUUCAGGUUUAAUUUUAAGAUUUAAAUGACUGACUCCUUAGCUUGCUCAGUUGUAUUCUUUGUCUCUGAUUACUUACUCCAUAGAACACUGCUUACCUUUAAAUAAAAUGUAUUAAACUCCUUUGUUUUCAGAAUCUCUAAUAUUCAUGCCUAUUGGGGAUUCAUACCCUAAUAACUUGGGCUACUAGUCUGUCAUAAAAUAUAAACUCCAGCCAUAUUAAAUAUGGUAGACUUGCCCUAAAAGUCAGAUUUAUACCUUCAAUAUACCAUGGAAUUUGUAAUACAAAUAAAUUCCUUUUUUUAUAUUGGUUUUAAAAUAAGAAAUUGUAGUCUCUUGAGUUCUAGAGUUUCUGUAAGAACAACAGAAGGAAUGCUCAGCUAAUGUUUAGUACCCAUAUGCUUCAUUAAAGUGACCAGAUGUCCUGCAUUUGUCAAGGGAAAAGGGGAAUUGUUUUCUUCUCUCUCAAAUAUCUCCUUCAAAAAGUCUAUCAUGGAUACAUUUUGUGCCUUCACUGCCCUUUUUAAAUAAUUAUUAUUCAUGCCUUACUAUAAGAACAUUACAACUGGUAACAAACUGCUUUUAAACUUGGGGUUUCAGAUUUUCUAAAG